rnacentral:rRNA from 1 species
CUAAUACCGGAUAAGAAAGCGGAUCGCAUGAUCAGCUUUUAAAAGGCGGCGUAAGCUGUCGCUAUGGGAUGGCCCCGCGGUGCAUUAGCUAGUUGGUAAGGUAAAGGCUUACCAAGGCGAUGAUGCAUAGCCGAGUUGAGAGACUGAUCGGCCACAUUGGGACUGAGACACGGCCCAAACUCCUACGGGAGGCAGCAGUG